CCCGCGCGCUCCACACGUCCCCGCCGUCGCGCUCGCCUUCCAUCCUCCUCCCCACCCCCUCCUUCCAUCCUCGCUCGCGCGCUCCGCAUGUCCCCGCCGUCGCGCUCGCCUCCCUCCUCUUUGUUGCCUCCGCGUCGGCCUCCACCCCGCUCUCCGACACGCUUGCCGUCGUCUUGGAUUUCUGGUGCACUCUCUUCUCUACGACGCGAGCAAGGGCGGCGCUUGCCAUGGCAUCGACGGGAACCAGGCAUCACUCUCCCUAUCUCUUGGGAUGGUACAGGCAGGAGGAUCAGGCCACCGUCGAGGAACGCGCUCUUCGCUGUGUUCCAGCGAGAAGAUGAGGGAUCGAGGGCGGCGCAGGUGGCGAGCUCGUGGGCGGAACAGACUGGUGAGAGCAAGAGGAUGGAUCAGGAGCUUGAGCCCCAGAGACAUGCCAGUGAGGAGCAGUUUAGUCGGUUCUUGCUUUAUGAAGUGGAUGCAAUUAGAAAGACGUACGAGCGGGCCAACAUCUCGCGGUGGCUCGCCUUGGGCAACCGGACCUGCCCGACCACGAUGCAGGAGCUCUAGGACGACGCCCUCACCCCCAACGCCACUCUCCGACAACUCAUCGCCGCCUGGUUCUCCCGCCUGGUUUCUGCAUUUUGUUUUCUUAUCUGUCAAUCAUGUUUUUCCAUAUUACUGCAGGUGGGUCUGAUUAAUUAUUUAAAUGUAGUUUAUCUUAGAUAUUGUUUGAACGUAUGGGAUGUUGGAGGACAGAAGACAAUCAUGUCUUACUGGAGAAAUUACUUUGAGCAGACUAAUGGGUUAGUUUGGUUUGCUGAUAGUUCAGACAUAAGGAGGCUUGAUGAUUGCCGUGCUGAACUCCACAAUCUCUUGAAAGAAGAGGAUAAAGGUUUACCUAUCUAGGCAGUGUUCUAUUGUUGAUUUUUGCAAAUAAGCAAGACAUGCAAGGAGCUCUAAAACCAACUGGAAUCGCGAAGGUAAGCGAACUUCAGUCAUUUAUUAUAUGCAUUAGAGACAUGUUUUCCUGUCUAUGACAUCAUUUUUAACUUGUACUGUGUUUUUCCGGUCCUCAUGGUUGCCAAGAUUUUACUUAGUUCGAUGUGGGAGCAAAAGGAUAUGCCAAAUUGAAUGUAGUUUCAUCAGUUAUGCUCUAUUAUGGAUGUUCAGAGGCAUCCAAUUUCAGUGUGUACUGCAAUACUUGGGUCCACCUAGUCACUCUCCGACAGCUCAUCGCCGCUUGGUUCUCCUGUCGGUACACAAGGUUUAAGAAGCGCUACGCGGACUUCCACGGCCGCGCUGCCGAUCUCGUCCACGGCCUCCGGGGCACGGCGAUGCCCAGGAGACAGGCCCUCGAGGAAGAGCAAUGUACAGAAGAGAAAGGUAUCUCGACUAUUCCAAAGCACAAGUAUGCAUCCAAAGCCUGUUCCCCAAAAGGAACCUUUAUCUGCAGCUCUCUCUGCGCUUACUCUUGUUGUGCAAUUUAAUGGGUGGCUAUCAUUUUUCCUCUUGCUUUAUUAUAAACUUCCUCUGCGGCCAGAAACUCACAAGACAUACUAUGAAUACACUGGCUUGUGGCACAUCUAUGGGCUCCUUGCCAUGAAUUCAUGGUUCUGGAGUGCCAUAUAUCACAGUUGUGACACAAUUUGGACAGAAAAAGCUAUAUUUUUCAUCAGAUGCUGCCUUUCUAGGGUAUUCCCUCAUUUUGACGAUAGUUGAUUAAUCAUUCUGGAACUUGUACUAACAAUUGAAGCAAGUGGAGGCAUAGCACCAAUUGUGUCUGUGCUGCAGCUCUGGAUGUCAGUAGACAAGAGGUGUAUCAGAGAGAAGCACUUCAAGGUUAAUUUGUUGAGCAAAUUGGAGAUGCUGGAUUUUGUAUUUUGGUUGCUCAUGGGUGGUGAAUGAUCUGACGACUUCAGAAGAGGAUAGAUCUGAGAUUACCUUUCAUGCAUGUCAAGGAAGUUAAGUAGCUGAUGCCAUCAAAGCAAUGGAGAAACGUCAGGUGAACCGCGAGCAGAAUUCUGUGGCGCAUUUGUUAGCGCAGUUAGUUAGGACUCUGUUCAUACAACUGUUCGAUUAAGCCAAAUACCUAAUUUAGUUUUAUAUUGGUUGUUGUCAAAGAAUUUGUGAAAUAUUGAGGUUGAUAAUAUAUGUGGCGUUCGUUUUUAUGUAAUCAUUGUUCACU